rnacentral:rRNA from 1 species
CACGUAGGGUGCGAGCGUUGUCCUGAAUUAUUGGGCGUAAAGAGCUCGUAGGCGGUGUGUCGCGUCGGCCGUGAAAACCUGCAGCUUAACUGUGGGCUUGCGGUCGAUACGGGCAUCACUGGAGUUCGGCAGGGGAGACUGGAAUUCCUGGUGUAGCGGUGAAAUGCGCAGAUAUCAGGAGGAACACCGGUGGCGAAGGCGGGUCUCUGGGCCGAUACUGACGCUGAGGAGCGAAAGCGUGGGGAGCGAACAGG